rnacentral:rRNA from 1 species
UACGAAGGGGGCUAGCGUUGUUCGGAAUUACUGGGCGUAAAGCGCACGUAGGCGGAUAUUUAAGUCAGGGGUGAAAUCCCGCAGCUCAACUGCGGAACUGCCUUUGAUACUGGGUAUCUUGAGUAUGGAAGAGGUAAGUGGAAUUCCGAGUGUAGAGGUGAAAUUCGUAGAUAUUCGGAGGAACACCAGUGGCGAAGGCGGCUUACUGGUCCAUUACUGACGCUGAGGUGCGAAAGCGUCGGGAGCAAACAGG